rnacentral:rRNA from 1 species
UACGUAGGGUGCAAGCGUUGUCCGGAAUUCUUGGGCGUAAAGAGCUCGUAGGCGGUUUGUCGCGUCUGCUGUGAAAACCCGAGGCUCAACCUCGGGCCUGCAGUGGGUACGGGCAGACUAGAGUGCGGUAGGGGAGAUUGGAAUUCCUGGUGUAGCGGUGGAAUGCGCAGAUAUCAGGAGGAACACCAAUGGCGAAGGCAGAUCUCUGGGCCGUAACUGACGCUGAGGAGCGAAAGCAUGGGGAGCGAACAGG